rnacentral:rRNA from 1 species
CCCUACUGCUAUCGGGGUGGGACUAAGACAUGCAAGUUGUGCGUCUCUAAGCUAUGGUAGAGACGCGGCGUACGGCUCAGUAACACGUGGCUAACCUACCCUUAGGACGGGGACAACCCCGGGAAACUGGGGCUAAUAUCUGAUAGGUGAGGAGGCCUGGAAUGGUUCCUCCCUGAAAAGGCGUUGAAACCAUGCUUUUCAGCGUCGCCUAAGGAUGGGGCCGCGUCCGAUCAGGUUGUUGGUGGGGUAACGGCUCACCAAGCCAUUAACCGGUACGGGCCGUGAGAGCGGGAGCCCGGAGAUGGGCACUGAGACAAGGGCCCAGGCCCUACGGGGCGCAGCAGUCGCGAAAACUCCGCAAUGCGCGAAAGCGUGACGGGGCUACCCCGAGUGCCGUCCGCUGAGGAUGGCUUUUCCCCGGUGUAAUGAGCCGGGGGAAUAAGGAGAGGGCAAGACUGGUGUCAGCCGCCGCGGUAAUACCAGCUCUCCGAGUGGUAGGGACAAUUAUUGGGCUUAAAGCGUCCGUAGCCGGCUUGGCAAGUCUUCUGUUAAAUUCAGCGACUUAAUCGUUGAGCCGCGGGAGAUACUACUAGGCUAGGAGGCGGGAGAGGCCGACGGUAUUCCCGGGGUAGGGGUGAAAUCCUAUAAUCCCGGGAGGACCACCAGUGGCGAAGGCUGUCGGCUAGAACGCGCUCGACGGUGAGGGACGAAAGCUGGGGGAGCGAACCGGAUUAGAUACCCGGGUAGUCCCAGCCGUAAACGAUGCGGGCUAGGUGUUGAGGUGGCUACGAGCCACUUCAGUGCCGCAGGGAAGCCAUUAAGCCCGCCGCCUGGGGAGUACGGCCGCAAGGCUGAAACUUAAAGGAAUUGGCGGGGGAGCACCACAAGGCGUGAAGCUUGCGGUUCAAUUGGAUUCAACGCCGG